rnacentral:rRNA from 1 species
GACGAACGCUGGCGGCGUGCUUAACACAUGCAAGUCGAACGGAAAGGCCCUGCUUGUGUGGUGUGCUCGAGUGGCGAACGGGUGUGUAACACGUGAGUAACCUGCUCUUGACUUUGGGAUAACUUCAGGAAACUGGGGCUAAUACCGGAUAGGAGCUCCUGCUGCAUGGUGGGGGUUGGAAAGUUUGGGCGGUUGGGGGGGGACGGGCGGCUUAUCGGCUGGUUGGGGGGGUAGGGGCUUACCAAGGCUUGGGCGGGUAGCCGGCCUGGGGGGGGGACCGGCCACAUUGGGACGGGGAUACGGCCCAGACUCCAACGGGAGGCAGCAGUGGGGAAUAUUGAACAAUGGGCGGAAGCCUGAUGCAGCAAGGCCGCGGGCGGGAUGACGGCCUUCGGGUUGUAAACCGCUUUCGCCUGUAACGAAGCGUGAGUGACGGUAAUGGGUAAAGAAGCACCGGCUAACUACGUG